UGAUUUUUGUCACUGACUCAGUCACCACCGGACGCACUGAACCUUCCGGCUGUUUCUCCAGCCAGUUAAGCCAGCGGUUACCCUGCUGAAAAAUAUCGGCAAAACGGGGAAGUAUCAGACGGGUGGGGUAACGCCAUCCGGCCAGUGAACUGUGCCGCAUUCCGGGCAGUACAUACCACCGGCACUGAUACCGGCAAGAAUGGUUGCAAACUUCCGCUCCGUACAGCGGGCUAUUUCCGGAUACCCUUCGUCAUCGACACGAACAAACCAGAAGACCAGCUUUUUGUUUCCAGCAUCCAGAAAGAACGGAAUACCCAGGUCAGCGCAGCACUCAACGGCAUCGUCAAAAUUAUCAAAGUGCAGAACUUCAGCGUCUUCUUCGUCAAAAAAAUCAUCCGGAUGAAGUUUCACAACAUAGCGGGGAAGUUUGCUUCUUUGUGGUGCGGGUUUGCGUUUACGGGGUUUAGCUGAACGGGCCAUAUAACUACCUGAAAGACAAUGACAUUAUCUUUUUUUAUAACGGUAAUUCCAGGCCAUGACAAGCCGCAGCCGCCAGGCUGCCUACUCG
rnacentral:rRNA from 1 species